AUGACCCUCUCCAGGAGGGACACGAUGCUCUGCUUCUGGACUUAUCUCUUCGUUUGGCACCUGUGUUGAACAGUGAUGACCGAUACCACAAGGAGGCGUUCAAUCAGAAACAAUUUUCUAUCUUGAAAUUCCACUCAGAGAUAUCAACACUUCCACCUUCUUCUUACUAGAAAGCAAUAUAUUGAAGAGAUUGAAAUUAGGUCAUCCAGUGAAGGAGGAAAUUCCCAAACAACUCGGAUCAUUUAUAAUAUGGUCAGAAAGCCACUGCUAGAAUUUUGGGACCAAAGCCCUCAUUCCAUUGCAACUCCAAAGUUAAUAUCCAGAAAUGAACUGUGUACUUACGUCAAACCCAGAGCCUUAAUCAAGGCAGAAAAUUCCAAUGAUCCGCAAAGAGAUACAUUUGGUUCAUCGAAGAUCCCUUGAGAGCCACUUAAAAACAUUAUAAUUAUGUUGAAGUGCUUAAGAGGAAGGCAAAGAAAUAAUGCAAGCCACCUUCACUCAAGCAACACCUCAAUAAAAACACACUGCCUGAAAAACCGAGGAUAGUACUAGGUCCGUGCUGGUACUCUUAACCAAAAUACCAGGAAAAGAAUGGUAAAA